UGUAGGAAAAUAAUCAUUAAUAACGUCAAAUACUCAAUCUUGAAGGUUAUUUGUAAAUUUAUCACAAUUAAAUGCAGUUACUCUUUUAUAUCUGCUUAAAUUAUUUGCAGGUAUUCUUGAAAUAUUACAUAGUUGCGGAUCGAAAAACCAGUUAAAACUUAAAAGGAAAAUUCAGUAUAUGAUUUGAACUCAAGUUUAUUUAGAAUAGCACUCACAUAACCUAACCUCAAACUUUAAUGGAUCAGAACUGGAAAAUAAUUUGAAUCAACAAAUUAC